GACGGGGGAUGCGAGCGUUAUCCGGAAUGAUUGGGCGUAAAGGGUCCGCAGGUGGCCCGGUCAGUCCGCUGUCAAAGCCUGGGGCUCAACCCUGGAGAGGCGGCGGAGACCACCGGGCUUGAGUCCGGUAGGGGCAGAGGGAAUUCCCGGUGGAGCGGUGAAAUGCGUAGAGAUCAUGAGGAAGACCAGUGGCGAAGGCGGGUCUCUGGACAGUUCCUGACACUGAGACACGAAGGCCAGGGGAGCAAACGGG
rnacentral:rRNA from 1 species